GUGAGGAAUAUUGGGCAAUGGACGCAAGUCUGACCCAGCAACGCCGCGUGGAGGAUGAAGGUUCUUGGAUUGUAAACUCCUUUUGCAGGGGAAAAGUAAGGAUGGUACCCUGAGAAUAAGUCACGGCUAACUACGUGCCAGCAGCCGCGGUAAUACGUAGGUGACAAGCGUUAUCCGGAUUUAUUGGGCGUAAAGCGCACGCAGGCGGCUGAUUAAGUCUGACGUGAAAUCUCUCGGCUUAACCGGGAGCGGUCGUUGGAAACUAAUCGGCUUGAGGCGAUGAGAGGGGUGUGGAAUUCCCGGUGUAGUGGUGGAAUGCGUAGAUAUCGGGGGGAACAUCAGUGGCGAAAGCGGCACCCUGGCAUUUGCCUGACGCUCAUGUGCGAAAGCGUGGGGAGCGAACGGGAUUAGAAACCCCGGUAGUCC
rnacentral:rRNA from 1 species